UACGGAGGGUGCGAACGUUAAUCGGAAUCACUGGGCGUAAAGCGCGCGUAGGCGGUUUGUUAAGUGGGAUGUGAAAUCCCCGGGCUUAACCUGGGAAUUGCAUUUCAAACUGGCCGACUAGAGUACGGUAGAGGGAGGUAGAAUUUCCUGUGUAGCGGUGAAAUGCGCAGAUAUCAGGAAGAACACCAAUGGCGAAAGCAGCUUUCUGGGACGGUACUGACGCUGAGACGCGAAAGCGUGGGGAGCGAACAGG
rnacentral:rRNA from 1 species